CAGGGCCCAGGGAACCAUGCACCUGUGUCCACAACUUUUCCCAGCCAACUCCUGCAAGGCUCAGCGUGUCUGCUCCCUCCACAUCGCUGUCUGAGUGGCCAUGAGCACAUCCCGUGUGCCGCACUAAGUGCCAAGCCCAACAACCAAGGGCACCUACCACAGGGGUGACAACCUGCCACUCAACGAGAGACUUCAAGUCCUUCCCAGGACGGCUCACAGCAGGCAUGCAAACCUAUGAUGAGGUUCAAUUUGUAAUCAGACACAGUGAAAGAUUAGCAAU